rnacentral:rRNA from 1 species
GACGAACGCUGGCGGCGUGCCUAAUACAUGCAAGUCGAACGCACAGUUUAUACCGUAGCUUGCUACACCAUAGACUGUGAGUUGCGAACGGGUGAGUAACGCGUAGGUAACCUGCCUGGUAGCGGGGGAUAACUAUUGGAAACGAUAGCUAAUACCGCAUAAUAUUGAUUAUUGCAUGAUAAUUGAUUGAAAGAUGCUAUUGCAUCACUACCAGAUGGACCUGCGUUGUAUUAGCUAGUAGGUGAGGUAACGGCUCACCUAGGCGACGAUACAUAGCCGACCUGAGAGGGUGAUCGGCCACACUGGGACUGAGACACGGCCCAGACUCCUACGGGAGGCAGCAGUAGGGAAUCUUCGGCAAUGGACGAAAGUCUGACCGAGCAACGCCGCGUGAGUGAAGAAGGGUUUCGGAUCGUAAAGCUCUGUUGUAAGAGAAGAACGGGUGUGAGAGUGGAAAGUUCACACUGUGACGGUAGCUUACCAGAAAGGGACGGCUAACUACGUG